GGAGUUCCCAUCAGAUUGUAGCCAAAGUUCACUUAUCCACCAUUGGUCAACUAUUCAAGAAUGUGUCAACAAGUUCUGUGCAUCGCUUAUCCAAAUUGAGGGUAGAAGGCAAAGCGGUGUGACUGUACAUGACAAGCUUAUGGAGGCUUGUGCUUUCUACAAGGUAGAAGAUAAAGACAAUAAGUCGUUUCAGUUCAUGCAUUGCUGGAACCUGUUACGAACACAGCCAAAGUGGCAUGACAGGAUGAAGGAGUUGGCAGCUCAGAAGAAUUCACACAAAAAAUAGAAGACUGCAGCAGAUUCAGUUCUUGGGAUGGAUUCUGUGGCAAAUGGAAAUGAUGUCAAUCGUGAUGCAGACCAGAAUGAGAUUCCUGAGAGUGAUGUUGGAAAGAAAAGACCAAUGGGCAACAAGAAGGCAAAAGGUUCUUUGCGUCAAGGUGGAGGUGAUGCAUGCACAGAGGCUUUGGACCAUUUGUGGGAAAAAAAGAAGGAAGCCAAUGCAGAGAAGGAACUCAAGAAAGAAGAGAGAUACAAACAAUCUUUUGAACUAGAAAAGGAUAAGUUUCAGCUAGAACAGGUGAGGGUUGCAUAUGAGCAAGUGAGGGUUCAGAACUAACAACUGAGGCUAGCAAAUGAGGCAAAAGCUCUAGAGAUUAAAGAAGCCGAGAUGUAUGACAAAAGAAUGUUAGAAGAAGAACGAAUUAUGACGGUGAACACUAGUGGUAUGCCUGGAGAUCUACAGCAGUACUAUAAGAGUCUUCGAUCUGAGAUAAUGGCUCGCCGUGGGAUCAGCAGCUGAGCUUGACUUUGUUAAACAUGCAUCAACUCUUUUGUUGAAGUUAUCAUUCCUAGUUUGAACCUAUGCACUCAUGUUUCUUUAUUGUAUGAAUCAUUUUCUUUAUGGACCUGUUGCACUCCUAAAUGUUUGAGAAAGAAUCAUGUGCGAUUACUGUUA